AUUGAACGCUGGCGGCAGGCCUAACACAUGCAAGUCGAGCGGUAGCACAGAGAGCUUGCUCUCGGGUGACGAGCGGCGGACGGGUGAGUAAUGCCUGGGAAACUGCCCGAUGGAGGGGGAUAACUACUGGAAACGGUAGCUAAUACCGCAUAACGUCGCAAGACCAAAGAAGGGGACCUUCGGGCCUCUUGCCAUCGGAUGUGCCCAGAUGGGAUUAGCUAGUAGGUGGGGUAACGGCUCACCUAGGCGACGAUCCCUAGCUGGUCUGAGAGGAUGACCAGCCACACUGGAACUGAGACACGGUCCAGACUCCUACGGGAGGCAGCAGUGGGGAAUAUUGCACAAUGGGCGCAAGCCUGAUGCAGCCAUGCCGCGUGUAUGAAGAAGGCCUUCGGGUUGUAAAGUACUUUCAGCGGGGAGGAAGGCGAUAAGGUUAAUAACCUUGUCGAUUGACGUUACCCGCAGAAGAAGCACCGGCUAACUCCGUGCCAGCAGCCGCAGUAA
rnacentral:rRNA from 1 species